UGGUCAAUGCUAGGGGAAAUUCUCGCUUUCUGAGUGGCCAUGGGGUGCUGCGUCCGAACAUUGGUUGAAAAAUGCAUACUGAAAUGUGCGCUAUCGGAAUUGACUGGUGUACGAAUUACUGUACAAAGUAAGUUCCACCCGGUUGGCCGGGAACUAAUUUUGUUUUAUUCAUUUAACAUUUUUGCGAGCACAGUUUCGGUUCUUUUACUCCCUGUUGGCGAGCCUUUGUGUGAGGACGGGUGAAGAAUGGAAGUACGGGAGAGGAGGGGAUGUAGGAGAAGUGUAUGUGGGGAGGGGGCGUUGCUGCGCAGGCAAUUACAGGAGCCAGUUCACAUCUGCCUGAGAACCGACUACAUCAUGACGCCUAAAUAAUCAAGAUCAAGGUCAUUCCUGCAAUGCCACAUCAGGGGCUCUUCGCUACACAGGCUGCUGCUUUGAAUCAAAUAUAAAGACUGCUACUGUGUUUGUAAAUGAAAUGCAGCAACAUUGCAUUCUGCAUGUGUGCAUUUGUCUGUCUUAUAAAUUAUUCAAACAGA